CUAUAAAAGCGUAAAAGCUAAUUCUAAUUUGUAUGGAGUUGAAACAUUUGCCUACGUUUGCCGUUAGAGGCGCUGUUCCAACUGCAUACAAAUUUGAGUUAACUUUUACGCUAUCGA
rnacentral:pre_miRNA from 9 species